CAAGAUGGCUGCCAGGUGCGGUGGCUAAGUCUGGGCACAUCUGAAGCCGGUGCCGACCAUCAGGGCCGAGUUGCGACGAGAGAGUGUUAUUAAGCCGAGUUGGUCUCUCCACCUCCGUGUCGGGGUCCAACAAGAAGUGUCCCUGGAAGAGAGUCCCGGUCUGGGUGUCGAUGGUGACCACAGGGAAGCCCAUCUGGAGGAUCCAGCGAUUCAUGAUGGCCUCCACUGAGUGAGGCAGAGUCAGGCCGGCUUUCUCUACCGCCUCGUUACAAGACCAGAAGGGAAAUAUUCACAUUAUUAAUAUUAUUAUACGACACAAUCGUUAGCAUUCUAAUAUUAGCAGUCUGUGGAACGCUCUCCCUGACCACCUGAGGGAACCACAGACUGUGGAUGCCUUUAAAAAAGGCUUAAAAACCCUUAUUUUGGAAAAGCCUUUUUUUUAGAUAUAUGCAUGU